GAAACGACUGCUAAGACUGGAUAGCAGACAAGAAGGCAUCUUCUUGUUUUUAAAAGACCUAUUAAUAGGUAUGCUUAGGGAGGAGCUUGCGUCACAUUAGUUAGUUGGUGGGGUAAAGGCCUACCAAGACUAUGAUGUGUAGCCGGGCUGAGAGGUUGAACGGCCACAUUGGGACUGAGACACGGCCCAAACUCCUACGGGAGGCAGCAGUAGGGAAUUUUCGGCAAUGGAGGAAACUCUGACCGAGCAACGCCGCGUGAACGAUGAAGUAUUUCGGUACGUAAAGUUCUUUUAUUAGGGAAGAAUAAAUGAUGGAAAAAUCAUUCUGACGGUACCUAAUGAAUAAGCCCCGGCUAACUAUGUGCCAGCAGCCGCGGUAAUACAUAGGGGGCAAGCGUUAUCCGGAAUUAUUGGGCGUAAAGGGUGCGUAGGCUGUUAAAUAAGUUUAUGGUCUAAGUGCAAUGCUCAACAUUGUGAUGCUAUAAAAACUGUUUAGCUAGAGUAAGAUAGAGGCAAGUGGAAUUCCAUGUGUAGUGGUAAAAUGCGUAAAUAUAUGGAGGAACACCAGUAGCGAAGGCGGCUUGCUGGGUCUUUACUGACGCUGAGGCACGAAAGCGUGGGGAGCAAACAGGAUUAGAUACCCUGGUAGUCCACGCCGUAAACGAUGAGUACUAAACGUUGGGUAAAACCAGUGUUGAAGUUAACACAUUAAGUACUCCGCCUGAGUAGUACGUACGCAAGUAUGAAACUUAAAGGAAUUGACGGGACUCCGCACAAGCGGUGGAUCAUGUUGUUUAAUUCGAAGGUACCCGAAAAACCUCACCAGGUCUUGACAUGCUUCUGCAAAGCUGUAGAAACACAGUGGAGGUUAUCAGUUGCACAGGUGGUGCAUGGUUGUCGUCAGCUCGUGUCGUGAGAUGUUGGGUUAAGUCCCGCAACGAGCGCAACCCUUAUUGUUAGUUGCCAGCACGUAAUGGUGGGGACUUUAGCAAGACUGCCAGUGAUAAAUUGGAGGAAGGUGGGGACGACGUCAAAUCAUCAUGCCCCUUAUGACCUGGGCUACAAACGUGAUACAAUGGCUGUUACAAAGGGUAGCUGAAACGCAAGUUUUUGGCGAAUCUCAAAAAAACAGUCUCAGUUCGGAUUGAAGUCUGCAACUCGACUUCAUGAAGUUGGAAUCGCUAGUAAUCGCGAAUCAGCAUGUCGCGGUGAAUACGUUCUCGGGGUUUGUACACACCGCCCGUGA
rnacentral:rRNA from 1 species